rnacentral:rRNA from 1 species
UACGAAGGGGGCUAGCGUUGCUCGGAAUUACUGGGCGUAAAGGGCGCGUAGGCGGAUGUCUAAGUUGGGGGUGAAAUCCCGGGGCUCAACCUCGGAACCGCCUUCAAUACUGGAUAUCUUGAGUUCGGGAGAGGUGAGUGGAAUGCCGAGUGUAGAGGUGAAAUUCGUAGAUAUUCGGCGGAACACCAGUGGCGAAGGCGACUCACUGGCCCGAUACUGACGCUCAUGCACGAAAGCGUGGGGAGCAAACAGG